rnacentral:rRNA from 1 species
UAAAUAACAAUGCAGAACCUUUUAGGUUUUGCAAUUGGAAUGAGUACAAUUUAAAUCCCUUAACGAGGAACAAUUGGAGGGCAAGUCUGGUGCCAGCAGCCGCGGUAAUUCCAGCUCCAAUAGCGUAUAUUAAAGUUGUUGCAGUUAAAAAGCUCGUAGUUGAACUUCGGGUUGAGCAUUUAGUCCACUCCGGUGGUACUAUAAUGUUUAACCUUACCUUCUGGGGAACCAAAGUGCUCUUAAUUGAGUGCCUUGGGGAACCAGAACCUUUACUUUGAAAAAAUUAGAGUGUUUAAAGCAGGCUUAGGCUUGAAUACAUUAGCAUGGAAUAAUAGAAUAGGACUUUGGUUCUAUUUUGUUGGUUUUUAGAACCAAAGUAAUGAUUAAUAGGGACAGUUGGGGGCAUUAGUAUUGAGCAGCUAGAGGUGAAAUUCUUGGAUUUGCUCAAGGCUAACUACUGCGAAAGCAUUUGCCAAGGAUGUUUUCAUUAAUCAAGAACGAAAGUUAGGGGAUCGAAGACGAUUAGAUACCGUCGUAGUCUUAACCAUAAACGAUGCCGACUAGGGAUCGGUGGGCUUCAUUUUGAACCCAUCGGCACCUUAUGAGAAAUCAAAGUGUUUGGGUUCCGGGGGGAGUAUGGUCGCAAGGCUGAAACUUAAAGGAAUUGACGGAAGGGCACCACCAGGAGUGGAGCCUGCGGCUUAAUUUGACUCAACACGGGGAAACUCACCAGGUCCAGACAUAGUAAGGAUUGACAGAUUGAGAGCUCUUUCUUGAUUCUAUGGGUGGUGGUGCAUGGCCGUUCUUAGUUGGUGGAGUGAUUUGUCUGGUUAAUUCCGAUAACGAACGAGACCUUAACCUGCUAAAUAGUUUCAUGAACUUUGGUUCAUUGUAACUUCUUAGAGGGACUAUCUGUGUUUAACAGAUGGAAGUUUGAGGCAAUAACAGGUCUGUGAUGCCCUUAGAUGUUCUGGGCUGCACGCGCGCUACACUGAUGAAACCAGCGAGUUUAUAACCUUGGCCGAAAGGUCUGGGUAAUCUUGUGAAAUUUCAUCGUGCUGGGGAUAGACCAUUGUAAUUAUUGGUCUUCAACGAGGAAUUCCUAGUAAGCGCGAGUCAUCAGCUCGCGUUGAUUACGUCCCUGCCCUUUGUACACACCGCCCGUCGCUACUACCGAUU